AACAAGACAAGGCCUUGAACAAGAAACCAUACCACCAUCCAAGAGAGCUGACAGCAUGAAGGUCCUCCUGCUGCUAGCAGCCUCGAUCAUGGCCUUUGGCUCAAUACAGGUCCAAGGGAACAUUGCGCAGUUUGGGGAAAUGAUUUGGCUUAAGACAGGAAAGAGAGCUGAGCUUAGCUAUGCCUUCUAUGGAUGCCACUGUGGCCUGGGUGGCAAAGGAUUCCCCCAAGGAUGCCACAGACCGGUGCUGUGUUACUCAUGACUGUUGCUACAAGCGCCUGGAGAAAAGUGGAUGUGGUACUAAGUUACUGAAAUACAAGUACUCCCACCAAGGGGGCCAAAUCACCUGUUCUGCAAACCAGAACUCCUGUCAGAAACGGCUGUGUCAGUGCGAUAAAGCCGCCGCUGAAUGUUUCGCCCGGAACAAGAAAACCUACAGUUUAAAGUACCAGUUCUACCCCAACAUGUUUUGCAAAGGGAAGAAGCCCAAAUGCUGAAAAGAGCCAUCUCCUGAAACACCCGGACAUGCGCGUCUCCCAUCACACCUCUCCCAGCCCCACCAAGUUUCCCGGUGAUAAAGGAAACACCCCUCUCCCACCCUAGAGGCAAGGUGGGGGCCCUUCUGUCUUCACCCAGAAUGAGACACAGAAGUCUGCUGAGUCAGGCUGACCUUUCCCCACCACUCCACUGCCUUGAAUCUGUCUACUUCCACCUUUCUCUUGGCAUCCAACUUCCUGCUUCGUACCUAAGAGAGUCCUGGGAGGCCCUCACAAGUAAAGCAAUUCAUCAGACAA